rnacentral:rRNA from 1 species
GAUGAACGCUAGCUACAGGCUUAACACAUGCAAGUCGAGGGGAAACGGCAUUUAGUGCUUGCACUGAAUGGACGUCGACCGGCGCACGGGUGAGUAACGCGUAUCCAACCUUCCCAUUACUGUGGGAUAACCUGCCGAAAGGCAGACUAAUACCGCAUAGUCUUCGAUGACGGCAUCAGAUUUGAAGUAAAGAUUUAUCGGUAAUGGAUGGGGAUGCGUCUGAUUAGCUUGUUGGCGGGGUAACGGCCCACCAAGGCGACGAUCAGUAGGGGUUCUGAGAGGAAGGUCCCCCACAUUGGAACUGAGACACGGUCCAAACUCCUACGGGAGGCAGCAGUGAGGAAUAUUGGUCAAUGGGCGAGAGCCUGAACCAGCCAAGUAGCGUGCAGGAUGACGGCCCUAUGGGUUGUAAACUGCUUUUGUAUGGGGAUAAAGUCAAUCACGUGUGAUUGUUUGCAGGUACCAUACGAAUAAGGACCGGCUAAUUCCGUGCCAGCAGCCGCGGUAAUACGGAAGGUCCAGGCGUUAUCCGGAUUUAUUGGGUUUAAAGGGAGCGUAGGCUGGAGAUUAAGUGUGUUGUGAAAUGUAGACGCUCAACGUCUGAAUUGCAGCGCAUACUGGUUUCCUUGAGUACGCACAACGUUGGCGGAAUUCGUCGUGUAGCGGUGAAAUGCUUAGAUAUGACGAAGAACUCCGAUUGCGAAGGCAGCUGACGGGAGCGCAACUGACGCUUAAGCUCGAAGGUGCGGGUAUCGAACAGG